GGACUACCGGGGUAUCUAAUCCCGUUCGAUCCCUACGCUUUUGUACCUCAGUGUCAGUUUUAAGCUAGAAAGUAGCCUUCGCUUAUUGGCUGCCCUUUAAAUAUUGAAGGAUUUUACCCCUACUCCUAAUGUUCAACCUCCUCCGCUUAAACUCUAGUUUAUCAGUAUUAAAAAUAGCCCAAAAUAAUAUUUGGUAUUUAAUUUGAAACUUGAAAAACAACCUACUUACCCUUUACACCCAGUCAAUACGAAUAACACUCGCCCUCUCCGUAUUACCGCGGCGGCUGGCAC
rnacentral:rRNA from 1 species